UCUUACCUCUCUUUAGAUAUAUCCCAAUUCAAACACAAAACCUAUUCGAUCUCUUGGAGAUCUUGGACUUCGUUGUUAAGCAUUAAGGAGCAGAGCAGAGCAAAGAGAGAGCUUCAUCCGCUAAGGUUGUUCUCACACUUUGAUUUGCAGAGGCGUGGAACUUCAACGUGUGGUCUUUGUGCAUGCACCUCCCACGCACGCACCCAUCUGACUCUCUUUCUCUCACUUCAGCCCCAGAAUGCUUAAACCGUAUUCACCAAAAGCCGUCACAACCCAAGAACACCAAAAAAAUUUACAGGAAAACAUGGAAAAUGGAGCUCCGAACCAUGGAGUGGACACGGGUUCAACCAUCACCAUCAAAGGGAUUCUUAGCCUGUUAAUGGAAGCCAUCGAUGAAAAUAAUGACAAAAGGGCGAUUUCUCUAGGCAUGGGUGACCCAUCUGCUUACUCAUGCUUUCACACCACCCAUGUUGCUGAACAAGCAGUUGUGGAUGCUGUCCAAUCUGAGAAGUUCAAUGGUUAUGCGCCCACUGUUGGUCUUUAUCAAACAAGAAGAGCAAUUGCUGAAUAUUUGUCUCGUGAUCUUCCAUACGAGUUAUCAUCUGAUGAUGUGUUUGUCACAUCUGGUUGCACACAAGCUAUUGAUGUUGCACUGGCAAUGCUUGCCCGCCCUGGUGCAAACAUCUUACUUCCAAGGCCAGGCUUCCCAAUUUAUGAACUUUGUGCUGGUUUUAGAAAUCUGGAAGUUCGGUAUUUUGAUCUUCUCCCUGAGAAAGGCUGGGAGGCUGAUCUUAAUGCCAUUGAGGCUCUUGCGGAUCAGAACACUGUUGCAAUGGUAGUUAUAAACCCUGGGAAUCCUUGUGGGAAUGUUUAUAGUUACCAACAUCUAAAGAAGAUUGCAGAAACUGCAAAAACACUUGAAAUUCUGGUAAUUGCUGACGAAGUAUAUGGGCACCUUGCUUUUGGGAAAAAUCCAUUUGUGCCAAUGGGAGUUUUUGGAUCCGAAGUUCCUGUUCUAACUCUUGGGUCUCUAUCGAAAAGAUGGAUAGUGCCUGGAUGGCGACUUGGUUGGUUUGUGACAAGUGAUCCUGGGGGGAUGUUUCGGGAACCCAAGACUAUGAAGCGUAUUAAGAAGUAUUUUGACAUUCUGGGGGGCCCUGCAACCUUCAUUCAGGCAGCGGUUCCUAGCAUCCUUGAGCAAACUGAAGAGGCUUUCUUCAGGAAAACUAUUAAUUUACUGAAGGAGGCAUCAGAUGUUUGUUAUGAUAAGAUAAAGGAGAUCCCUUGCAUUACCUGCCCACAUAAACCAGAGGGGUCUAUGGCUGUAAUGGUGAAGCUGAAUCUUUCACUACUCGAAGAUGUUAGUGAUGAUAUUGAUUUCUGUUUCAAGCUGGCCAAGGAGGAAUCUGUUGUCAUUCUUCCAGGAACUGCUGUGGGGCUAAAGAAUUGGAUCCGUAUUACUUUUGCCGUCGAUCCUUCUUUUCUUGAAGAAGGUUUAAGGAGGACAAAAUGUUUUUAUCUAAGACAUGCAAAACUGUUAUGAAGACACCAUACAAUUGAAGUCAGCCAAUUGCAUAAUUGAUCACUUUAUGGUGGAAAAAAUUUGUGAUUAGGUAGAAUUAGAGCUACAUUGUCCACUCUACAGUAGCCAACUGAUUUGCUAGGAGGUUGUGUGUUCUUGUCAAGCUUCUGCCAUGGAAAGCUAAUCAAAAUAAAAUCCCCAACGGUCCCUCACAUUCCAUAUGCAACUGCUGACCCAACGCUUAUGGCAUUUUCGGGCUUCUAUUGACAAUCCGUUUUGAUCUAGUAAACGUUGAAAUUGUAAAGAUUUUUGUGAAAUACAAAGUGUUGGCCAUUUGGAUCAGCUUUUCAAAGCUAUUAAUAUUGACCUCAUCCAAUGUCGGAAU